GCUGAAAAGCGGUACUUGGGAAAAAGGACAAACAAAUGAUAAUGUAUGUGUGGCAGUAUUGUAGAUGAUGAACAUAGCAUGUUUCACUGCAACCAAUGGUUUAUGAAAGGAUAUAAUGGAUAAUGGCUGCACAGCAACUAUUUACAGAUGCAUAUAAAUGUUUCUGCCAGGAUACCAGUGACCUUGAGGACACGUAAUAUAGUGAGACAGCCAUAAAGUUGAACUCGAGACAAUACUUUGAGCAUCUCUAAUAAUUUGAACAAGGUUAAUGUCACUCGAAGUAACCGACACUAAUCAGGUUCCACACCUGCCCUAAUGCUUCAGCAUUUGUGUAUUAAGUGCUGGCUCAUAUCUGAUACUUGAGAUGUAAAGUGAAAGGUUGCCUAGGGAAGCUUUUAGUAUUCAGCUACCAUGCCAGUCUUCAGGCAUGCUGAGCAGAUCUAACUCACCUGGUAGCCUGUGUUAAGGUUAUAAGUGCCUCCUCCAGCUUCACAGCAUGUUAACAUCAUGUUGCUUACAUGAUGACAUGUUAACAUGCCAAGUAAUUUCUUGUAUGCAGAAGCAUUACUUCAGUUUUAUUUAUUUGUUUAUUUAAAUGGUAAUCAAAAUUUUGGCAAAUUUUAUUGCUGGCUUGUCCACAACAAUACAUUGCUUCAUGAUGAAACAAAACUUGUACUAUAUACUAUAAAGGAAAAGAACAAAAAAUAAAAUCAAUUGGUGCAAUGACCAUUAACAUAAUGAUUAGAAUAACUGUACCAAGUGGCUAAAAUAAGUGUACUUUCAACAAAUCGUAUAGUUGGCUACCUAGGAGCUGGUAUGUAAAUUAAGAAAGCAUCACACGAGUGUAAAUAAUGUGACUUCAGUAACAAACUUGCAGGCAGAACAUUGUGACACUGUUAAUAGAAAACACUAAAAAUAAAAAAAGAGCAGGUAGUGUACUUAUACUUAACAAGACAUGACUCCACUAUCAUCAAGGAAGCGCUACAAGAACCCUUUAUAGUUGUCCUUUGUCUACAUGAUUGGAACGCCACCCAAAACAUUUUCUCUGCUGAAAGACCAGUCAUGAAUCUCGGAACCAAUGUUUACUGUUCACAACUAUGGCAGUCCACUGCAGUAACAUGUCCCAUGAGUGAGCCACACACACAGCAUUGUAAGGUGACAUGCUGUACUGGAAGCUGCCUGUAUAGGCAGGCGCUAAGCAUAGCCAUGGUGAAACAAUCCACACGACAGCCAGGUGCCGCUGUGCACUGAAAAGUGCAAAUCGAGAACAGCUCUAUAUGAGACAGUUAAUAGAAAAGGCACCAAAUCAUAGCUUCUUACUUGUAGAUUUGCAUCUCUGUGUUAUCCACACGCUUGCAUCCCCCUUCAUGAAGAAUGAGAGCAGUUAGCAGAUACAAUAUUAUAGCAACAUAUCAAAGCUUGUUCCAUGUUACCCAUGGAAUAUGGAUGUUGAUGUUACUACUCAGCAGCCAGUACACUUUUGUAUCGUCUCCUUUGAUAUCUGCAACAGCAAUUUCCUGGUAUGAUCUUUAGGAAUAAUAUUGCAUUAGGGUCAUGUCAGGCAUGUCAUUGCAUCCAUGCUAUAGCUACUUGAAUGUAUUAUGUGGGCAAGGUAGAUGGUUUUUAGGCAAUGAUUGAAUCAAUUCAAGUUAGAAUUAUUAUUGUGUAAAAGUCUGUCACCGCUGAAGGCACUUCGUGUGGAAGUUGACGCCUUUAACUUACACCAGGGGAAGGAAUGGAAUAGGCCGAUGUUUCGUCAUAGUUGUGGAGCCAGCCACAAUUGGUAGUUGUGAGGAUAACACAAGCUUACCAUUUCCACAAAAGAGCAAUGCUUUCAUUGGGCAACCCCACAAUGUCUACAUUUAUGCGUAGUUAAUGAAGGCUUAGGCCUUGAUGGAUUUGAGUAUCCAUAGGGUAUCCACCAUGCCUUACUGUCUGAGUCGGCCGUGUAGCUUACAGUAGGAGCUGUCACUUCUUGUAAGUAUAUAUCAACUUCUGGCCUUCAUACCGAUGGUCAAAGAGGGAUGCAAGCAAAAUGACUGCUUGUUUCCCUACACAGAGCACAACUACAAGAGGCCUGUGAACUUAGGCCACGCUUCGCAAGCUGGUUGGCUUGUUUUUUUUUUUCCAAGCACGUACUCGUCUUCCGCCCGCCAUGUCUCAUUUCUGUAUGGUGUCAGUGCUUUUGGUUUCUUAGACUUCUCCCUGUCAGUCACCUCUUCUUUCAUCAGCUUCUUCGUGUUGAUAUGUUCCUUGAGAUUCUCUUACCAUGACAUCAUAAGCAAUGUGAUAUUCUUUUUUGGACAGGUGAGCCAGACAAACUUACUUUAGUGGCCAUGACCAAUUGGUGUCAGCUUACAAACAGCUGCAGCCACAACCAGUGAUAGAAAACAAAAAGAGUUAGAGUAAUGAAUCAAGGCAAUAGGAAAAACAGAUUUGGCAAGCAUAGCGCUUUCUCACCUCCAACUGGUUACAGCCGAUCAGGCAUGCAAGUUAGAAAAGCAGGACGCCGUAUCGUGUUGCCUUUCUGCCAGUGACUUAUCACCUGGUGGAGCAUCGCACUCCCUGCCAAGAGAGCUGCAGGUUCUAGUGUGCUAGGAAUGACAGAGAGCUAGAGUAGCCAAGGUGACUUGGGAGCAACAGUUUGGCUCUUUAUAACUGGUGAUGCGAACAAUUCUUGUGGAAGGACAUGCAUGAGGUGGUGACCUUUCGUACCAAAGGCAUUUUGAAAGUACAUAAAGGACGCUGCAGGACGUCUUUAAAAGGUCACUAAAAUGCAGUUCCAUUUCGGGUGUACAUUGUAGACCAAGUCAUGUAGGUGAAAAUAGCACCAUUCCACCAGGUUCCAUGUUUCAAGUUUAUUUAUAAAAUGAACAAAUAGAGCAGAUGUAUGAUAGCCCUGAUGAUGUCAGGAUCAUGUGUCAAUAUUUGUAUGGGCUGAAAUUUAAUGCAAUCGUGUUUCAUAACAUCUUAAUAGAACAAGUUGUUAUGCCAACAUUUGUAUACACAGUUCUUUUUUUUUUUAAGGAGUAACAGUAGUAUACAAGUCGCAGCACCAGUUCUCUGAAGUAGUGCUCAGCAACUUCGUGCCAAAAAACCCCUACAAUCAUCUGUGCUUGCAUAUAUAGAAAUAUUACUAGUCAUGGUUCCACCAUUUGGCCACUACAGGGUUUGUCCCAAAACUUCCCGGAAUUUUUAUUUUAUAAAUAAUUUAUUCAAUAUCAGUUUACAAUCUUUUUAGAACUUUUCAUAGUAUUCUCCCCCUGCUUCGAUGCACCAUUGCCAAUGCUUCACCCAAUCAUCCAAGGCGCCCUGGAAGUCGUCAACGGGAACCUCCUUCAGUGAGGUCAUCGCAGCUGCUUUUACCGUCUCCAGCGUCCUAUGCCAAGUUCCUUUCAAGGUUCUUUUGAUUCUUGGGAACAAAAAGAAGUCUGGUGGUGUCAUAUCAGGGCUGUACGGCGGCUGGGGCAGCGUUGCCACACCCAUUUUGGCCAGCAACUCGGAGGCAAUGAGUGCAGUGUAGCUUGACGCAUGUCAUGGUACAAGAUUCAAUUGUGAUUUUCUUUUCGGACGCAUCGAACCCUGUUGCGCAACCGUUUGAGCACUUCACAGUAAAACUCCUUGUUGACUGUUUGUCCCUGUGGCACAAAUUCACUAUGAACCACACCUUUUCUGUCAAAAAACACAAUGAGCAUUGCCUUGAUUCGCAAUUUGUUCAUCCUUGCUAUUUUUGGGCGAGGAGACUUCGUGGUGUGCCACUUGCUGCUCUGACGUUUUGAUUUGGGAUCGCACUCAAAAAUCCACAUCUCGUCCCAUAUGAUCAUUCUGUCCAAAAAUUCUGGGUCCGUUUCGUAGUGUUCGUGCAAUUCCUGGCACUGCUCUUCCUUCAUCUCAUUUGUCAGGACUUUGGCACCAUUUUCGCGCAGACUUUCCUCAUUUGAACAUCCUCUGUUAAAAUGCGAUGAACGAUUGUUCUGGGGAUUCCACACUCCUCUGCGAUUAUCCGAACACUUAAUCGGAUGUCCAAAACUUGACGCACUUUUUCACCGAGUCGUCCGUUUGUGAUGUUGAUGGGGUGUCCCGAGUGGUCAUCGUCGUUGACAGACACCGACCUUCCCGGAACCUCUUGUGCCACAUGAAAGUUUGGCUUAGUUUCAUCGCGUCGUCACCGUAGGCUUUCUGAAGCAUUUCGAGCGUCUCCGCCCCAUUUUUACCCAGUUUCACGCGAAGCUUUAUUGCAUAAUGCUGCUCCAAAAACUGGUCCAUUUUUUUUAUCGGCGACAAUGCAAUAAAUACCUCUGCGCAGAGCGUGACCUGCCUCAACAACUGCCCGCAGGCAACUGAGAUCGGUCUCAUUUCGAAGCUUAGAUCCCCCACUAACUUCUUCGCCCAACGCCCCACCCUGCCAGGUGGUGUU